ACCAGAGGCGAUCAGGUUGGGAGCAGAUAAGAAGUUCCCCGUGCUGUCUGGUCCACCCCAGAUCUCAUCACAGUAUGCUAAUGAGCUGGGGAGCCUUUAAGUGUCAGAGCCCAGCAUGCAGAGCAGUUAGGAGCCCAGACGUCGACACAAAGAAGCCAUAAAACAUGAAGGAAAGUGUCAGCGAGACAUGAAAGAUGCCACACUGCAUGCAAAGAGAUUACAAACACGGCAGGAACUCACUGCUAACUGAAAUGUCUUGUGCCGCGGACAGGAUAUCAUCUUAUACUGUAAGUU